CUCAAUAGUUCUGUUCGGACAGACAUUGCCGAAGCUGGGGCAGAAUUUCGCCAGGUAUUGGGAAUUCUACAAACUGACGCCGACGAUUUUGAAAACCUAAGUCAAUUGGAAAAGGAUUUCGUAGCAAAUAUAAACAAGUGCGACGCACAAAAGGAAAGCUAUGGUUGCUACAUCUCGGCGAUUGAAAAGGUGGUCCGAGAAGUUGGGGCUACCCCAGUUGACAAUGUAAAAAUAUUCUUCAGUUUGGUAAAACUCUUCAAGCGUAUAGACGGUGAAUAUGCUAAAUUUAAUUUUUGCUUAGUGCGACACCCGGAAGUUACAUCACCACCUGGUUCGUCAGAGGCAGAACAGACCACAGCAAGCUCAUCCAUUCUUCCACAAAUUUUAUGAAAUACAAUGGUUUUCAAGAAUAUCUGAAUUGUACUACAUUUUCGUAAUAAAAAGUGCAUUAUCAUUUCAAAAA